rnacentral:rRNA from 1 species
GACGAACCGUGCGAACGUUGUUCGGAAUCACUGGGCUUAAGGGCGCGUAGGCGGGCUGUCAAGUCUGGGGUGAAAUGCCGCGGCUCAACCGUGGAACUGCCUUAGAUACUGACGGCCUCGAGGAAGGUAGGGGCAUGCGGAACUGUAGGUGGAGCGGUGAAAUGCGUUGAUAUCUACAGGAACUCCGGUGGCGAAAGCGGCGUGCUGGACCUUUUCUGACGCUGAGGCGCGAAAGCUAGGGGAGCAAACGGG